GGUUGGCCCUGUCUGGGUCUGGUCUGACCACAGGCAUUUGAACUGGAGCUGGGUGAAUCUCAUCUGGAGGCGACGACAAGAAAGCAGCUGCCAAUGGCCAGGAAUUGACUGCUGGGGCUCCAGGCCACACACUUGACUCCCAGCGACCACUCGUAGGCGCUGUAAGUGGACAGCAAGCGGCCAUCCAGAGAAUACAGCAACACCUUGUACUGCCAGGAGGACAUGCGCGUCAAGCAAGCGUUGUGCUUCCAACGGAAUGAGAAAGAGGUGGAAGAUCCAGAGACAGACACAGAGC